AUUGAACGCUGGCGGCAUGCCUUACACAUGCAAGUCGAACGGUAACGGGCCUUCGGGUGCCGACGAGUGGCGAACGGGUGAGUAAUGUAUCGGAACGUGCCUUUCAGUGGGGGAUAACGUAGCGAAAGUUACGCUAAUACCGCAUAUUCUGAGAGCAGGAAAGCAGGGGAUCGCAAGACCUUGCGCUGAUUGAGCGGCCGAUAUCAGAUUAGCUAGUUGGUGAGGUAAAGGCUCACCAAGGCGCCGAUCUGUAGCGGGUCUGAGAGGAUGAUCCGCCACACUGGAACGGAGACACGGUCCAGACUCCUACGGGAGGCAGCAGUGGGGAAUUUUGGACAAUGGGGGCAACCCUGAUCCAGCCAUGCCGCGUGAGUGAAGAAGGCCUUCGGGUUGUAAAGCUCUUUCGGCCGGGAAGAAAUCGUAUCAGCUAAUACCUGGUGCGGAUGACGGUACCGGCAUAAGAAGCACCGGCUAACUACGUGCCAGCAGCCGCGGUAAAAC
rnacentral:rRNA from 1 species